UAUUGUUAACAGUUCCUAAUUUCCCCCCAAAUUAUAAAGGUUUUCCACCAGCAGAGCUAGAGAACAUAAGAAAUUCUUCAUAUUGUAUUGAAUCUUCUCUGUUCUGAGAUUUAAAAGAAAGAAGCGAGAAUGAUGAGAACAAGGUUGCUAUGGUUCACAUUGGGCAACUACAAUUAUCAACUUCGUAUUCAAAGAUCUCUAGGUUCCAAGACUGGGUCGAUCGCCAAAUUCUCUUGCAUAAUUAUCAGGUAAUUUUAGUUUGGGUUUUCAAUUUAUAUUCAUAUUUCUCUCCUCUAGCCCUAAUUUUGUCUGAUUGCCACUAUCUUUCACCUGUUUCUCUCCUCCCUUGUAUGUUUGCUGCUAAGAAACUCAAUCUUAUUGGUACCUAAUUGCGGGUAAUUUCAUUGUACAUGUUGUUUGGUAAUAAUUAGGGAAGUACACAAUUUGUUUGAUAAAAUGUCUACUUGAACUAGAUAGUCAGCAACUCAGCUUGAAUUGCUUCAAUUUGAACAAAACUUGUAAUGACCAAACAUCAAGGAAAAUUCGUUCAUGAAACUCUGUAAUUGUUAGUGUUGGCGAUAAAGUUUUCUACAUAACCAAUAAGAUGAAGCUUCUACAUUAAACCUCUUUGAUGUUUUAUGUUUUGGCCACUCCCAAAGUUUUGGACAAAUACCAUUAUAAGUCGGUGAAAUAAAAUGAAAUUGCAAUGAAUGAUUUAAAGGAAUUAAUACUUCACAUUUUUGAAUGAGUAACUCUUGGAUGACUAUCUUAAUUAGUUCAUAUAGGUGCAGAAUGUUCAGUAGGUGUAAUUGGUUGAAAGAUUUGGUAUGAAGACAGUAUCUUCAUUAAUGCAGUUGACAAAAACCUUAUUUUGUAUCUCUACAUGUAUUGGUUUAAUAAGUUGUAGAGUUCCAACUCGAUCAUGUUUUUUCUUGAUUAAUGGUCUUAUAUGACAUUUAAUAGUAAAAAUUGUAAAGAAACAAGUCCUGGAAAAUGUUACUUAGAUGUGGGUGCAAAAACUAUAUUUGUUCAUCAACCUAGUUUUAAUAGACUUUAAGUGAUUCAAAUCUGUCAUUUAUCAUUUUUAAAUUGUAUUGUUUUGGCUAGAAGUACAUAGCUGGUAUACUUUGUACGUUAUUCUUUUAGUUUAUUGAUCUUGAGUAGUGAUUUAUACAUGUGCUUAUUUGGUAAAAAUUUAGUGAUGAUCUUGAGUACAGAUUUAUACGGUUGUGUCGCUUAGGGUUUGGAUCUAUGUCUACAUGGCGCAGUGUUUGGUGCACGUGGUGUUGGUGUGGAUGGAGUAUAGGAGAAGUAAUAUGACGAGAGUUCGCAUCAAAUCUGUCCAAAAUCUGGAAAACAGAUUCGAAACAGUUGCUUGCACGAAUUUUCUGGAAUUUUGUGUUAAGAAUUUGGAAAUGGUCAAAGAAUAAAAGUUGUGUUCCCUGAAAUUAGCUUCGCGUGGGCUCAAGAAUCGCUCAAAAAUGUUUUGAAACGAAAAAGUUAUGAUUGUUUUAGCGAGAGAGGGUAAUGCUGAAAACUGUUAUGAAUGUCCAUUUUUGGCGCAAUGUUUAGGCUGUCUAGCGAACCUGUAACACCCCCUUCCCGAAAAAGAAAGGGAGAUCACGUGCAAAGCACAACAAACCUCAAAAUAAGUAAACAGAGCAGUGAUAACUUCAAAUAUUAAUAGUGGUGAUCCAUUAAUAAAUUACUAAAUACAAUUCUCCAAACAGAGUUAAAAUAAUCAAAACUUAAAAUCGAAUCAACUUAGAUGGUCAAAGGCAACUCUCUCAUCACACUAGUCCUGAAUCACCCCUGCAAACCUACCAGAAGAAAAAUACAGCAUGAGCCAAUUGCCCAGUACGAAUAUAGAUAAUACAUAAAUGUAUAACUGAAAUAUGAAAUCAACUGAAGCAACAUACUUAACAAAACCUCAAGCUUAAAGACCGACGAAAAUAUGAUAUCCAAAGUCUGAAUAGAAUAUAUUCGAAUCAACAAAUUUAACAAAACAAACAGAAGAGUAAAGAAUGAACUGAAGUAAUUACUAAAAACAAUAUGUUUUAAGAAUAUAAAUUUUAUUUAUUUAUUUAUUUAUUUUCCGGGUAUUACAAAACCCGAAAUGAGAGUUUGAUAUUUUAUUAAAAUAGUCUCAUAUGAUAUGAAAAACAUAUUGAAAUUUGAUAAUUUUUCGGUAAGCGAGCAAGGCGUGAGAAAAUCGCAAAGUUGCUACGCGGAUAAGGGGAGGGCUGCCCAUGGCAGCCCAACCCACGAUGGCUGCCACCUAGGGUCUUUUCGAUGCCUCGUUUUCUCUCUCUUAGGAUGUCCGAAAUGCUAGGCUAGCAUUUUGUAAAAAUAGGUGGACAUACCAUCUAUAGCAUAUCCAAAAUUGGUUAGAAUCGCACAGGCAGAAUAAAAAUUAAAAAUACGUGAAGUGGAUGUUAGAACACGUUCGCCGACGGCCUACACUAAGGUCGUUUAGGCCAAGCUAAGGGCAGCCAAGAGUCCGACGUCGCGAUGCAAUUUUCGAAACUUAAUACAAUAUCCAAUGUCGUGGCACAUGUUUGAAUGUUGCGACAGGGAUUUUGAUGUUUUUAGCAGUUAGGCAUACCUUGAAGCACCGAAACGGAUAUAAAACAUAGUUUAAGAACUAUAUAACUCAUGUAUCCGUUCAAUGCACAUAGAAAGCUAUAAACACAAUAUGUGAACAUAAGUUUACAUAAAUAUGAAUAAUAUAUCCGUGGAAUGGGAAUGCGUUGACUUUAAUGAAAGCUAUUCCAAAGCUAUGCCUCGGAACCGAACGAUUUUCGAAAUAUAAAGCGAGAAUUAUGCAAACGUUGUUGAAAAUUCAACGUUUGACAUAAAUAAGCUAUGUGUAGGUAUAAGACAUACAAAUAGUAUAUGUCUACCUACAAGUCAAGCAAUUGAGGCAAGUUUUGACAUUAUAAGACAGACGUAUAUGCAAAAGCAUAUAUACCUCAUGUAUACAUAAAAUGGGGAAAAAUAAUGUUAUAUGAACACAUUAAUCCUAGAAAGCUAGUAUUCGUGCAGAAUAGAAUUUAAAUUACUCACGAAAGUGAAAAUAAGCUAUAAAUAUACAAAGUAAAGGCACGGAUGCAGUAUCUGACUAUAAGUCUACAUAUAGAUGCGUGUAAAGUCCAUAAAUACAUUAUAAAAGGUUUAUAACUAUAAAUGCAUUGUAUUGACGUUUUAAAAGUUGUGUUGAAACUUUUUGUAAGUUUAUGACUAUAUUAAGCUAAAACUCCAAAAUUUUUAAAGAAAUAAGAAAGUUUUUCAGAAACAGACAUAAAGAGGUGUUGUUAUAACUUAUAUGAAUGUUUAUAGCUGUACAAGCUAUGUGACGUGAAUCUGUGGCUAAUGUAUACAUACAGGUGAACAUAACUGUGUAGGAUUCGUGAGGUGAAGUUAAACUAAGAUUUAUCUCGAUAAUCAUCGAUCAAGGUAAGUCUUCCAAUUUCUUUGUUAUUUUAUGAAUUGGUUAUUGUAUGAGAUCUUUAAGAAUAUGUGUAAUUACAUGUUACAUGCUAUAAACUGUGAAAGUCAAUAUAUGACUAAGCUGAUUGAGUUAUGGAACUCAAUAUGCAUGUGAUAUAUGAUAUGAACAUAUAUUGUUUAAAGUGAUGAUGCAUGAAUGGUAUAAAGGAUUAUGAGAUAUAUGUUGAGCAUGAAACUGUGUUAUAUGAAGCAUGAAAAACUGUUAGAUUUGAUGGGUUGUCGAGCUCAGUCUUGCAAAAAUAUAAUUGUUGCAGGUAUGAUAUACAACACGGUUUCUUGCGAUCUAAAUGAUAAAGAAUAAAGACGUGUGUAGGAAAGUUGUCUACUUUAAGUAGGAACUAUAUUAUAUCGAAAUGAUUAUUUUUGAUGUGUAAAAUGAGAAUUGGGUAAAUAUUGUGUUAUUCAAUAAAUGAAGAAUGUUUGUGUUAAGAUUGAAAUACAGUUUGGCAAUUACCUUAUAAAGUAAUGUUUCAUAGGAAUGUUACUAUAUAAGAUAAGAUAUGAGUUAAGAAAUGAGUUAUAUAUACUCAUAUCACUCUGAUAAAAGGAAUCAUUAAAUAAACAUGAUUCUGAAAUAUGUAAUCGUAAAUGUUACAAUUCAGGGAACGAAGGAAAGACAGAAAGAAAAGUUCUAAAAUAUCUCGCAUGUUUAGCUAUUUUAACAUUGAAUAAUGUUUUAAAGUUAGAUCAAGAUAGUAUUUAACGCGCAAGAUCGGAAAGGGAAAUAGUCCCAAUUUUGGGGUCGUUGAAGUUGGUAUCAGAGUAUAAGCACAAAUGUUGCGAAGAUCCCCGAACCUUUUGCUAGUGACGUCCCUAUAAGGGAAGGCACUGAAGCCAUACUUUCCGUAGGGGACGCCGAGCAAGUCGAUAGCAAAUUGAUAGGUAUCAUUGUAAGGUGCUAUGGUUGAAAAUACCAUGAGCGUUACAAGUUGUAUCAAAGUUAUGGGUUAUAAACCUUAGGUAAGUGUACCAUAUGUUAUAACCGUAAACAAGAUAGAUGAAAAGGAAGAAAAUGUUAUGUAUAAACUCGAAUGAGGUUUAAAUGAUCUUAAGAUGAAUUUAAUAAUUCAUAAAGAAUGCGUUAAGAUAUACGCAAAGAUUCAAAGAAGAAUCUUAAAAGGCAAGAAGUAGAGGAUCAGGGGACACCUUAUUCAAAUAAUCAUAAAACCAUAUGAUUGGAAAGAAGAUAAGAAAAUCGUAAAAAUGAAACGAUCAUAGAAUGAGUCGUAAUAUAACACGAUUAUAAGAUCAAGUCAAUGAAGAACAGGUAAUCAAUCAAAUAAUUGAAAAUUUAUAGCAGAAUGGCUAUAUGGAAAUGGUACUAUGAGAUAGUACCACAGAAAACUCGGAAAGAGUUAUAAAUGUUGAAAUACAAAUUAAUUAAAUAAAAUUUGUAUUGAGCAAAGAACAAGAUAAGAUUUGAUGGGAUUAAGUGGGAUUUCAAUUGAUGACUCAUGUGGUAGUUGAGUUGUACAAACCUUUGUAUGGGCAAGGGUUUUAUACUUGGUUUAACGACCACUUAGUUUAUCACACUAAUAAUCGUUGAAAUGUUAGUGUCGCGUUAUAUAUAUACAUAUGGUGAGAAGGUGAUUCUUUUCUCAUAUAUAUAUUUGAUAAUUAGAUAUAUAAUAUAAGAGUAGGUGCGAGUUCUUAAAACUCAUGCUUAUGAUAAGUUUGUGACUCAUAAUCAUAUGAUAUAUUUUUGAGCCCUAAGCGUAUUGAUAGUCCCUGAUUGGUUUUUGGACUACGUAUUGUUAGGACAAAUUCUUAAACUCAUAUUUUUAUGGCAAGUUCCUAAACACAUAAUGUAUGGUAAGUUUGAUGAAUUGUACUAAGGUAUAAGAAUAUUAUCGAAUAAGAGCUAAUUAAUUAUAGUAGAUUAAACAAUAUUGAUGGUGCUAGAGUUAAAUAGAAUUGUUUUAUAGUGAGACAAUGGAAGAAGUUGAAGCUGAUAAAGGAGAGACGGAUAUUCCAAAUCUUCUAGUUAUGCUAGAUCUCUAAAUUUUUGAAAUCAAGCUAAAUUAGCACUGAUAUGAGUUUAGAAAUACAAAUGAAUUUUUUUUGUUAUCAGCAACACACAGUGACAAGGGUGUGGAUGUGGACUUCGAGCCACUAACACAUUGUUACCUGUUGCGCAUGAUAACACCAAAAAUAAUUUUCAAUGGUUUUAAACCGUUUAAAGAAGAGUCUACGCUAAUUGUUUCGGCUGGACAAAAGUUGAAAAUAUCAAAAUAUUUUUAUAUAGUCAACAAUCCAUCAUUAAUAUGAUGUAGAUAUAACAAAUGAUGAAGUCAUCAAUGCAGCUUAAUCUAGUGUUGGAUGUGAACUAUGGAUCGUCAGACCACUAUGGUAUGAUGUAGUAUGACAAGUCAUAAAAUGAUUUUCAGUAUUUUAAUAAUUAAAAAGAUGUCGAUGCCAUUUGAAUCGGCUAGACAUAGAUUCAGAUAUUGUUUUUAUAUUAAGCUUUUGAAUUGUCCAACUAAAUUGAUUAAGUAUGGACUUCAAACUGGAUAUAAACAUCCCUAAAUUGGGACAAGAUGUUCUAUGUGCUAAAGACAGAUGAUGAACGCAAAUGUCGUUCAAAUUUAUAUUGUGUCUUGGGGACGACAAAGAAGAACUGAAAGAAAUUGUUCUGUCAAGAUAAUGUUAAUCAACAUAGAAUAUCCUUGAAUUAGGAAAUUUUGUUUGCGCUAAAUGGCAAUGGCGACGAACGUAAAUGUCGUUAUUGCGUCCUGGGGAUGGCAAAGAGGGACUGAAAAAGUGUUCUGCUAAGAUAUUAUUGAUCAACACAGGGUGUAAACAGGCUAAUCACCUAUAUGCACGUAAGAUAUGUCGGUUUGUAGAUGAAUUUCUGUUGAAACCUUUUCAGAAACAAAGUUUAUGGUCUUUAUGACUUUAUCAUGAUACAGAAAGCUCUUCUUAAGCGAAUCUUUUGAAUUAUUGAAUUAUUCAUAUUACAUCACAAUUAUUAAUCAAUUGUGGGGAAUUUCUAUUUUGGAGAUUGGGUAUAGAAAGAAUGAACUUCCUUAAGAAGAAGUAGGUCGUAAAAUUAGACGAUGGUUUAUGAAUCCUUGAAGAAGGAAAAAAAUAGAGUUAUGAGGAAUAAAGAUUUUUGCAUAACAAAGUAGACACUGGUGAUGUGUCAUAGAAAGUCAAACAUUGGUGUUGUGUCAUAGACAUGGGUGAAAUGUCAUAAGAAACUAGACACUGGUAAUGUGUCAUAACAAAAAUAAUCACGUGAAAAUUAGAAACGUGCAAGUCCACAAAUUUUAGGACUUUUGGAAUAUUAGAAAAAUAAGUAUAAAAUAGCAUAAAGUUAUUAAUAUUUUAAUGUGUGUUAUGAUAGGUGAAAAUGAUAUAAUUUAGUAUCACAUAAUAUGGCCGCCAAGAGGGGAUCAGUAUGAUCGAAAGAAAAUAGAUCAUAACCAAGAAAGAGAAUUUUAGUAUUGUGAUUCCGAGGACGGAAUCCUUAUAAGGGUUGAAGAAUGUGACGAUCUUGGUUUUCAAAAAAAAACAUUAAGAUAAGAAUUUAAAUAAAUAAUUAAAAUUCUUAUUAUUAUGUGAUAAUAGACUGCAUAAGUAAAUUUGUGGUGUGGUAUGUGAUUUUUGUGAAUAAAUAUAUUAUUGUUAUAUAUUUAUUAUAAAUUGUUGAAAAAAAUUUCUAGGAAGGGAAAGAGAUGUGUAGGAUACAAAAUUAUUGUAUCCAUCGAUAUGUAUAUUGAAACAAUAACUAAAACUUAAUUAUUUUAGGAAAGAUUUAUUUUAUUAAACAAUUUAUUAUAUAUUGCGUAUGUGGAUAUACGCGGUAUAAUGUUAAAAUAAUUUACAAUGUUAAAUUAUUUUAAUAUAAUAAAUGUAUGACAUCAAAUAUAAUAUUUUAUUUUAUUGGAAGAGUUAUGUAAUAAUAAUUCAUUAUUACAAUGAAAUAUAUUAGGUGUAUGAGGUGUCAUGUAAUGUAGGUAUGUAAUAAUGCUUGUAUAAUAAGUUUGGUGUAAUCAAAUGCAAGCAUGAGCUACUAAGAAAUGAAAGUCUAGGAAGCCGAGUCAGUCAAGUGAGCAAGCAUGAGCUGGGAAUUGAAAGGAGCUGUAGACUUAUUAAGCUUUAAUGGAGAUUAGCGUGGUUGUGCGGAGUAAUAAGGUUGGCGAAAAUGGAUUGAUUAUAUUGGCCCCAACCUAUAGAAAUCAGUCCAUAAUUUAGUCGCACGCGUUAUUUUGUAAAAAUGCCAAAACGAGCUAAUUUGGCUAAAAAUACAUAAUUUAAUGGAACCUAGACCUUAGACGAGUCUUAUAACUUUAAAUAAGACUUGUUUGUAAAGAAAAAUUGGUUGGAACGAGUCGAGGUAAGUUUUGGAUGUCAAAACAAAAAGUGAAAACUAGUGUGACCGCUGACAUUGAGACCAAUUUUGGGUCUAGUAUAUGUUUCCAGAAAAUUCUAGGCUUUUGGAAUAUUAUAGUACACUAAAUAAGCUUUCCACAGACUCUCGAACGGACUAAUUUGGUAAUUCCGACUUCGGAUCAAGGAGUUAUGAAAGUUCAAAGUAGUCGCGUUGAAUCUGUCCAAAAUCUGAAAAAUAGAUUCGAAGCAGUUGCUUGCACGAAUUUUCUGGAAUUUUGUGUUAAAGAAUUUGGAAAUAGUCAAAAAAUAAAUGUUGUGUUCCCGGAUAUUAGCUUCGCGUGGGAUCAAUAAUAGCUCAAAAAUAUUUUGAAACGAAAAAGUUAUGACUGUUUUAGCGAGAGAGGGUAAUGCUGAAAAUAAAUCAAAAACUGUUAUGAAUGUCCAUUUUUGGCGCAAUGUUUGGGCUGUCUAGUGAACCCGAAAUGAGAGUUUGAUAUUUUUUAAAAAUAGUCUCAUAUGAUAUGAAAAACAUAUUGAAAUUUGAUAAUUUUUCGGUAAGCGAGCAAGGCGUGAGAAAAUCGCAAAGUUGAUACGCGGAUAAGGGGAGGGCUGCCCAUAGCAACCCAGCCCAUGAUGACUGCCACCUGGGGUCUUUUCGAUGCCUCGUUUUCUCUUGCUUAGGAUGUCCGAAAUGCAAGGCUAGCAUUUUGUAAAAAUAGGUGGACAUACCAUCUAUAACAUAUCCAAAAUUUGUUAGAAUCGCACAGGCAGAAUAAAAAUUAAAAAUACGUGAAGUGGAUGUUAGAACACGUUCGCCGACGGCCUACGCUAAGGCCGUUUGGGCCAAGCGUCGCGAUGCGUUUUUCGAAACUUAAUACAAUAUCCGAUGUCGUAGCACGUGUUUGAAUGUAGCGACACGGAUUUCAAUGUUUUCAGCAGUUAGGCAUACCUUGAAGCACCGACACGGAUAUAAAACAUAUUUUAAGAACUAUAUAACUCGUGUGUCUGUUCAAUGCACAUAGAAAGCUAUAAACACAAUAUGUAAACAUAAGUUUACAUAAAUAUGAAUAAUAUAUUCGUGUAAUGGGAAUGUGUUGACGUUAAUGAAAGGUAUUCCAAAGCUAUGCCUCGAAACCGAACGAUUUUCGAAAUAUAAAGCGAGAAUUAUGCAAAGACAGCUGCUGCCUGCUGCCAACCUGAACAAAGAACGUCACAAUAUGCUCAACGACCUGCGUGUGGUAAGGACAUCUGUAAGCUCUCACUUGGGGGAUCAGAAACUUAGUGUCAAUUAAUAUUUUUCUGCAAAUUUAAUUUUUAUUUUACAUGCCAGACUUGAUAUUAUCAACGUUAAGUUUUUCCAUCUGUUUUACUCUACCAACGUAUAAAAUUUGAAGUAAUGUUGCGUAAUUGAAGUAAGCAGUAAUUAACAUAUGACAAUGCAUACAUGGCUAGAUAGCUAUAUAUUUUUGGAUACACUUAUAUAUCACCUAUGCAAUAACAUGGGUUUAGUACGUAGUAUGUCUUCUACUUUAGGUAAAACUUUAGUCUACAUUUGCUUUCAAUAAAGUAUGUCACGUUUACAACUCCCGUUCUGCAGCAACAAUGUAGUCGAUCAAUAGAAGAAAUAGCUUUAGGCUGUGGAAGGAACAAAAGUAGUCAGAGUGAAUGAUUUCACUUGUUUCUCUUUGGUAUGAGCCCCUUGAGUAUAGGAAAACUGAGAACUAGAAUGAAGGAAGAAAGAAAAGCCUGAGCAAACAUCUCUUCAAAGUUUUUCUCGCCUAUUACCCUUUUCACUCCACCUAUAAAGCAUAACACGUUCAGUAUGACUAAUAAUGUCAGUGGAAUCAUGAACAUCUUUGCACCACUGAAGUCAAAUUUGCCUUUCAUAUAUUUUUCGAGCUUUUCUUGGUCGACGGCUUUAUUUGUCAGCCUGAAACUCGCUUUUGUUAUACCCAUCCACUUCAUUAGAACAUCUAGGCAUCCAAACAGCAAAGCUGUAACUGACUUUAUCAUAAAAAUUCUUUGUUCAUUCCACCACGUCCUAAUUGUGCCACCGCUAGAGAGGACUUCGUACAAAUGCUGACAAAGGGAUGAUGUAUAUACUGUUGCAAAUGCCAAAAACCAUGGGUCUGAGACCUGCAACAACAAUUGAAAGCAGAGAAUGCUAAAAUAGUUUUAAGUUAACAGGCAAAAAAAUUAAUUUAAUUUUACCCUGAACAAAAUUUUUCUAAAAUUAGUGGGAAUUAAUAGAUGUGACCUUAGUAGACACAAAAAAAGGAAAUAAAAGAAAGAUAAUCCUAACUUGUCAUAAUUUACCUUUGGGUACAAGGGAGUGCCACUCAAGAAACAUAGCUGAGGAAUAAUUCCAUAUAAUAGGCAAGCAACUGAGAAAAGGGGUAAAAACGUGAAAUACCCGUAGCACAUAGUUUGGAGAAUGGUCAUCCUUGACAUGCCAUAUGUGGCAGGGCUAAACUUAGAGAGACCAACUUGAAGCAAUCCAGAGGACCAUUUCAUGAGUUGGACCAAAGCAUCCUUCAUGUCAAUGGUGGUGCAACCCAAGAAACAUGGCCUUUUUGGAUAAAGAUAGACAGAACGCCAUCCUUUGUUGUGCAAAAGAUACCCCGUGAAUGUGCUCUCCAACAAACAAUCAUAGGAGUAGCCAAUCUGCCAUCACAUCAACAUAAGAUUGAAGGAUAAGGAAAAACAGCCUAAAAUUAUGUUAUAGUAACAUAUGAGUAUUAUGAGUGUAACACUGCACUUGCCUCUUUACCCCAUUGUGUGUUUUUCUCAAAGUCACAAGAGGCUAGAAUUUUGGCCUCUUCUAUAAUUGCUUCCGAUAAAUCUCUCACUCCAGAGGUAUCUUCUUUGUCACUACCUUUUAGUGAGGCAAUGAACACGCUAGAUAUACCAAAAUUCUUUUCUGGUUCGAGCAGAAACUUGUCUGUGAAAUACACGGAAAAGGAAAGCUAUAUAAACAUUGACGAGUUUUCACUAUCAUGGUUCUUCAUAAAUAUACUGUGAGUACAUAUACCGCUAGCUCAAUUGUUUGUAAGAAAUAUAAGCAUACCCUCUUGAUUGGGACUACUAUAUAAUGCCUUUUUGUUCAAGUAAUAACCAGUUCCUGCACAAACUGUACCUCGUUGUCCAUCCAUACCUUGAUACCUUGUCUGUAAUAUGGAUGUUAAAAUAUUGUUAUCAAUCAUAGGUGAACCUCAAAAAAAUACUUAAUUAUCUGUAACGAAAACACGAGUAGCAAUUUGUCUAAGUUACUGCACCUUGUAUGCUGAUCUUGCUUGGCCGUCGUAUAUAUCAUUUUCACUAACAUUAUAGAAAAUUUGAGGGUAUUGUACAUAAGAGAGAGUUCGAGACAUCUCAGGGUCCAGAUGAAAGCACAUUGCUUGUCGGGCUGAGGCAGGGUCAUUGCAGUACAUAUCACAAUCUAACACUAUUAUGUAGGGGGCAUUGCUAAUUAUGCCAGAAACUCGAAGCUGAUAGAAAUUAGUAACAAGUUGAUUGUCAUUAUAUGAAGGAGAUGGAGAGAAAAGAGAGUAGGAAUACAACACAUACAAGCGCAUUGAGGGCUCCAGCCUUGAAACGAUGAGGACGAGAUGGUCUUUUCUCACGGGAUACAUAAACAAGAAGAGGCAUCUUAUUUUGGAUGUCGUCAUUGUUUACAUCCUUGCUAUUAUCAUGUAUUACCUACAAAGCAAUAAACAAAUUGAUAAAUUUUUUUCCAUCUUUUUUUAAACUGAAAAUUAGAUUACUUUCUGCUGAUUUCUCAUUCUUUUUCUUGAUCAUUGUCUGACAUGACUGGGUGGAAGUAUCAAUUUAACUUUUAGUAGGUAAUAAAGUAUAAUCAAGUAGAUUAAAUCUCCAUAUAAUUUUCUAUAUUUUACUUUUCUACUAUUAAUGCUUUCGAAUGGUCACUACUGCAGGCAGCAGUAUUUUAUGUUCAGUUAGUGCUUGGACAUUAUCACAAGGGCUUAUGGCUGGAGGGUUAUUUAGAAGAUCUAAUGAUACCUCCACCAUUCCUAGAAGGUAUUUCACUCCCAAAAUUUGUAAGACUAAUAGAGCCUGAUCAGAAUAAUUAACUUGCAAAGACAGAAAAAUCAAGUUCUGAAAACUAAUCAAGACUGUCAAGCAUGGUGAACUGCACUUUCCAGUAAUUCUUUAAAUGUCAAGUUGUAUGAUAAUAUUGAAAUUAUAACCUUGAAUAAUACGAUAUGAGAUGUAUUUCACAGAAACUUAGUCACAAAUAUUUUAUCCAACUUUUGGCCUAAUGCUUAUUUGUCGCUCAAACAUCUUUUACCAUUUAAUCUGAUAAAUUUUAGCUCUUUUAAGUAAUUAAUCUGAUAAUGUUUUCCAUUUUCUUUCUCAGUUAUAAGUGCUUAAAUUUGAAUAAUAUAUUUUUGAUUUAUUACAUACCUUGAUGUGAGGGGGUCGAUCAUGAACAACGGCAUCUUCCAUGGCAGCUUUUUCAACAUUUAUCUUGAACAGAUCAUAUUUCGACUGCAAAGAUUAUAGAAUCAGCUAACCAUGUCUUCACAUUUCUAUAAUGAUUACUAAUCUGAUGAUGCUAUAAUCUAUGUUUCAUUUUUUUCACUUUUAUGUAGCCUAGUUCUUUUUACCUUAAUCUUUUCUUCCUCUGCCUUGAAUUCAUCGCUCCUCAGAAGACGUUCAUCAUCGCCAAAUUUAGAAAAAUAUGCUUCAGGACAUCUGGUCUUGAUCCCAUAUUUUCUACAAAAAGGUAGCC
rnacentral:lncRNA from 1 species